rnacentral:rRNA from 1 species
AACGAACGCUGGCGGCAGGCCUAACACAUGCAAGUCGAACGCCCUGCAAGGGGAGUGGCAGACGGGUGAGUAACGCGUGGGAACCUACCUAGUGGUACGGAACAACUCGGGGAAACUUGAGCUAAUACCGUAUACGCCCUGAGGGGGAAAGAUUUAUCGCCAUUAGAUGGGCCCGCGUCGGAUUAGCUAGUUGGUGAGGUAAUGGCUCACCAAGGCUUCGAUCCGUAGCUGGUCUGAGAGGAUGAUCAGCCACACUGGGACUGAGACACGGCCCAGACUCCUACGGUAGGCAGCAGUGAGGAAUAUUGGACAAUAGGCGCAAGCCUGAUCCAGCCAUGCCGCGUGAGUGAAGAAGGCCUUAGGGUUGUAAAGCUCGUUCGACGGGGAAGAUAAUGACGGUACCCGUAGAAGAAGCCCCGGCUAACUUCGUGCCAGCCGCCGCCGUAACAC